UACAGAGGUCUCAAGCGUUGUUCGGAAUCACUGGGCGUAAAGGGUGCGUAGGCGGCGGGGAAAGUCAGAUGUGAAAUCCGGAGGCUCAACCUCCGAAAUGCAUCCGAUACUCCCUCGCUAGAGAUUUGUAGAGGAGCUUGGAAUUCUCGGUGUAGCAGUGAAAUGCGUAGAUAUCGAGAAGAACGCUCGCAGCGAAAGCGAAGCUCUGGGCAAAAUCUGACGCUGAUGCACGAAGGCUAGGGGAGCAAACGGG
rnacentral:rRNA from 1 species